UACGUAGGGGGGCUAGCGUUGUCCGGAUUUAUUGGGCGUAAAGCGCGUGUAGGCGGCCAGAUAGGUCUGCUGUGAAAACUCGAGGCUCAACCUCGAGCUGUCGGCGGAAACCAUCCGGCUAGAGUCCGGAAGAGGAGAGUGGAAUUCCCGGUGUAGCGGUGAAAUGCGCAGAUAUCGGGAAGAACACCUGUGGCGAAGGCGGCUCUCUGGGACGGUACUGACGCUGAGACGCGAAAGCGUGGGAGCGAACAGG
rnacentral:rRNA from 1 species